AGGACGAACGCUGGCGGCGUGCUUAACACAUGCAAGUCGAACGAGGUCCAUCCGGUAGCAAUACCGGAGAAGACCUAGUGGCGAACGGGUGAGUAACACGUGAGGAACCUGCCCCGAAGACCGGGAUAACAGCGGGAAACCGCUGCUAAUACCGGAUACCCCCAUCGGCCCUCAUGGGCUGAUGAGGAAAUGGAUUCCGCUUCGGGAGGGCCUCGCGGCCUAUCAGCUUGUUGGUGAGGUAACGGCUCACCAAGGCGACGACGGGUAGCUGGUCUGAGAGGACGAUCAGCCACACUGGGACUGAGACACGGCCCAGACUCCUACGGGAGGCAGCAGUGGGGAAUCUUGCGCAAUGGGCGAAAGCCUGACGCAGCAACGCCGCGUGGGUGAAGAAGGUCUUCGGAUUGUAAAGCCCUUUCGACGGGGACGAUGAUGACGGUACCCGUAGAAGAGCCCGGCUAACUUCGUGCCAGCAGCCGC
rnacentral:rRNA from 1 species